rnacentral:rRNA from 1 species
GACAGAGGGGGCAAGCGUUGUCCGGAGUUACUGGGCGUAAAGGGCGCGGAGGCGGUCUGCGGCGUCGGCGCUGAAAGCGCCCCGCUUAACGGGGCGAGGCGUGCCGAUACGCGCAGACCUGAGGCGAGCAGAGGGUGGUGGAAUUCCGGGUGGAGCGGUGAAAUGCGUAGAGAUCCGGAGGAACGCCAGUGGGGAAGUCGGCCACCUGGGCUCGUCCUGACGCUGCGGCGCGACCGCGUGGGGAGCAAACCGG